AUUGAACGCUGGCGGCAGGCUUAACACAUGCAAGUCGAGCGGGGAAAGGUAGCUUGCUACCUGACCUAGCGGCGGACGGGUGAGUAAUGCUUAGGAAUCUGCCUAUUAGUGGGGGACAACGUUCCGAAAGGAACGCUAAUACCGCAUACGUCCUACGGGGGAAAGCAGGGGAUCUUCGGACCUUGCGCUAAUAGAUGAGCCUAAGUCGGCUUAGCUAGUUGGUGGGGUAAAGGCCUACCAAGGCGACGAUCUGUAGCGGGUCUGAGAGGAUGGUCCGCCACACUGGGACUGGGACACGGCCCAGACUCCUACGGGAGGCAGCAGUGGGGAAUAUUGGACAAUGGGCGGAAGCCUGAUCCAGCCAUGCCGCGUGUGUGAAGAAGGCCUUUUGGUUGUAAAGCACUUUAAGCGAGGAGGAGGCUACCUGGAUUAAUACUCUAGGAUAGUGGACGUUACUCGCAGAAUAAGCACCGGCUAACUCUGUGCCAGCCGCCGCCGUAACAC
rnacentral:rRNA from 1 species